rnacentral:rRNA from 1 species
CUUCUAGCUUGCUAGAAGUGGAUUAGUGGCGCACGGGUGAGUAAGGUAUAGUUAAUCUGCCCUACACAAGAGGACAACAGUUGGAAACGACUGCUAAUACUCUAUACUCCUGCUUAACACAAGUUGAGUAGGGAAAGUUUUUCGGUGUAGGAUGAGACUAUAUAGUAUCAGCUAGUUGGUAAGGUAAUGGCUUACCAAGGCUAUGACGCUUAACUGGUCUGAGAGGAUGAUCAGUCACACUGGAACUGAGACACGGUCCAGACUCCUACGGGAGGCAGCAGUAGGGAAUAUUGCGCAAUGGGGGAAACCCUGACGCAGCAACGCCGCGUGGAGGAUGACACUUUUCGGAGCGUAAACUCCUUUUCUUAGGGAAGAAUUCUGACGGUACCUAAGGAAUAAGCACCGGCUAACUCCGUGCCAGCAGCCGCGGUAAUACGGAGGGUGCAAGCGUUACUCGGAAUCACUGGGCGUAAAGGGCGCGUAGGCGGAUUAUCAAGUCUCUUGUGAAAUCUAAUGGCUUAACCAUUAAACUGCUUGGGAAACUGAUAGUCUAGAGUGAGGGAGAGGCAGAUGGAAUUGGUGGUGUAGGGGGUAAAAUCCGUAGAUAUCACCAAGAAUACCCAUUGCGAAGGCGAUCUGCUGGAACUCAACUGACGCUAAGGCGCGAAAGCGUGGGGAGCAAACAGGAUUAGAUACCCUGGUAGUCCACGCCCUAAACGAUGUACACUAGUUGUUGGGGUGCUAGUCAUCUCAGUAAUGCAGCUAACGCAUUAAGUGUACCGCCUGGGGAGUACGGUCGCAAGAUUAAAACUCAAAGGAAUAGACGGGGACCCGCACAAGCGGUGGAGCAUGUGGUUUAAUUCGAAGAUACGCGAAGAACCUUACCUGGGCUUGAUAUCCUAAGAACCUUUUAGAGAUAAGAGGGUGCUAGCUUGCUAGAACUUAGAGACAGGUGCUGCACGGCUGUCGUCAGCUCGUGUCGUGAGAUGUUGGGUUAAGUCCCGCAACGAGCGCAACCCACGUAUUUAGUUGCUAACGGUUCGGCCGAGCACUCUAAAUAGACUGCCUUCGUAAGGAGGAGGAAGGUGUGGACGACGUCAAGUCAUCAUGGCCCUUAUGCCCAGGGCGACACACGUGCUACAAUGGCAUAUACAAUGAGACGCAAUACCGCGAGGUGGAGCAAAUCUAUAAAAUAUGUCCCAGUUCGGAUUGUUCUCUGCAACUCGAGAGCAUGAAGCCGGAAUCGCUAGUAAUCGUAGAUCAGCCAUGCUACGGUGAAUACGUUCCCGGGUCUUGUACUCACCGCCCGUCACACCAUGGGAGUUGAUUUCACUCGAAGCCGGAAUACUAAACUAG